rnacentral:rRNA from 1 species
GUACUGUGCAAACGUUAUUCGGAAUCACUGGGCUUAAAGGGUGCGUAGGCGGCUAUUCAAGUCGGAUGUGAAAUCUCUCGGCCUAACCGAGGAAUUGCGUUCGAAACUGAAUGGCUUGAGUGAGAUAGGGGUGUGCGGAACUUCCAGUGGAGCGGUGAAAUGUGUUGAUAUUGGAAGGAACGCCGGUGGCGAAGGCGGCACACUGGGUCUCAACUGACGCUGAGGCACGAAAGCCAGGGUAGCGAACGGGAUUAGAUACCCCGGUAGUCCUGGCUGUAAACGAUGAGUACUAGACGGGAGGAAUUUCGGUUUCUCCGGUCGCAGCGAAAGCAAUAAGUACUCCGCCUGGGGAGUAUGGUCGCAAAGGCUG